rnacentral:misc_RNA from 1 species
AUGAAAUGUAGGGUGUUGCUGCACUUAAGCCAGCAACUGUCUCAAAGGAUGAUACUACCAUUUGCAUUUGUUGGUGAUACUGCUUGUAUCUUCUGCAUACCUGGAGAAGAUCUGGCGGUCGAGAUCCCUGCGGAUGUUGAAGGCGGAGCCGUAGGUGAGGUCGGCGAUCAACCGCUUCUUCUCCUCUAUGUUCUUCGAGACGGUUUCACGGAGCGACUGGACGGGGUGGCCGCCGACGAUCGCGCCCUUGACGCCGUCGAGGCCGAAGCGGAGGGUGUCGUGGUUCGCCUCCAGGUCGUGAGCGAUUGAUCCCGACGCCAUCUCUGCUGCGGAUCUCGGAUAAGA